UACGUAGGGUGCAAGCGUUGUCCGGAAUUAUUGGGCGUAAAGAGCGUGUAGGCGGCCCGACCAGUCCGCUGUGAAAGUCCAGGGCUCAACCCUGGAAUGCCGGUGGAUACUGUCGGGCUAGAGUCCGGAAGAGGAGAGUGGAAUUCCUGGUGUAGCGGUGAAAUGCGCAGAUAUCAGGAAGAACACCCGUGGCUAAGGCGGCUCUCUAGUACGGUACUGACGCUGAGACGCGAAAGCGUGGGGAGCGAACAGG
rnacentral:rRNA from 1 species